AUUACUCACGCUUGGAAAUCAUAUCGAAAAAAGAGAGCCACAAUAUUCACUAACUAAAUCCAAUAAUAUAUUUUUAAUUACAAUAUGUUAACUAUUAUUUAAUCAUCAUCAUCACCUACUCAAGAUUCUAUGGAGCAACAAAAACCGCAACAAACACAAAGAUUGCAAAUUUACCCAAAUUCAAACAAUGGGGUCACGCCUUUUUGGAGAGGUACUCUUUCUUAUAAUGCUCUUGCUUGCAAACUUUCUGCACAAAAAAGCUUUUUUUUAGGGAUUUUGUUUAUUGGGUUCUACUUUGCAAAGAAGUAUGAAAGAGAAGCCAAGAGGUAUUGGGAUGUCUUCUACAAGUGCCACAAGGACAAGGUUGGUUGUGGAGCCGAAAAUACUAUAUUUCCAGUGAUAGCAUCUUAUCCAGAUGCUUUUGUUUAUGCAUGUGAUUUCUCGCCACGGGCUAUUGAGUUAGUUAAGACGCAUGAAGACUUCAAGGAGUCCUGUGUUAGAGCUUUUGUCUCUGAUUUGACAGUUGAUGAUUUGUGCAAAGAAAUUCUUCCAUCUUCGGUUGAUAUUGUUACCAUGAUAUUUAUGUUAUCAGCAGUGUCCCCGGAAAAGAUGCCUCUAGUAUUGCAAAAUGUUAGAAAAAUUAUCAAGCCAAAUGGAUAUGUGCUGUUCCGAGAUUAUGCCACGGAAGAUCUUGCCCAGGAAAGAUUUUCAGGGAAGGAUCAAAAGUUUAGUGACAACUUUUAUGUCAGAGGUGAUGGCACUGCGUUGGGUCCAAGCUGUAUUCCGGUUUACAGAGGAUUUGAACUCUUCUUCUAGUAACGAAGCUGAGGGAAAUCGUUCUGGUAGUUCUGAAGCGAAGCAAAAUAGUUCGAAUGGUAGUUUAAAUGACUCUGCAAUUGACUUGUCUGAAGGUGUGGCAUUUGACAUGUUUGGAGCCUUACCUUCCAGCGACUGAGAUUAUUGAGAUCAAACUUAGAGGUUGGAAUUUCAAGAUUAGAGUACUUUUAAAACAGUACCAGCAUACCUGCAAAUCGACGGGCUUAAUGCUGUGGGAAUCGGCUCGAUUGAUGGCUUCUGUCCUCGCCGAAAAACCCUGAUAUCGUUGCAGGGAAAAGGGUCUUGGAGUUGGGAAGUGGCUGUGGGGGAAUCUGUUCUAUGAUUGCUGCUAAACAUGCCGACCUAGUUGCUGCUACCGAUGGGAAUGCUCUUGCCCUCGAUCUCCUCGCCAAAAAUGUCUCAUCGAAUCUUGAGCCUCCAUUGCUAACCAAACUAAUUACAAAGAAACUGGAAUGGGGAAACAAUGAUCACAUAGAAGCCAUAAA